rnacentral:rRNA from 1 species
CGACCGCUGGCGGCGUGCUUAACACAUGCAAGUCGAACGGAAAGGCCCUGCUUUUGUGGGGUGCUCGAGUGGCGAACGGGUGAGUAACACGUGAGUAACCUGCCCUUGACUUUGGGAUAACUUCAGGAAACUGGGGCUAAUACCGGAUAGGAGCUCCUGCUGCAUGGUGGGGGUUGGAAAGUUUCGGCGGUUGGGGAUGGACUCGCGGCUUAUCAGCUUGUUGGUGGGGUAGUGGCUUACCAAGGCUUUGACGGGUAGCCGGCCUGAGAGGGUGACCGGCCACAUUGGGACUGAGAUACGGCCCAGACUCCUACGGGAGGCAGCAGUGGGGAAUAUUGCACAAUGGGCGGAAGCCUGAUGCAGCAACGCCGCGUGCGGGAUGACGGCCUUCGGGUUGUAAACCGCUUUCGCCUGUGACGAAGCGUGAGUGACGGUAGUGGGUAAAGAAGCACCGGCUAACUACGUG